rnacentral:sRNA from 1 species
CUUUAGGCCGGUAGCGAGUUAUCUCACUUGAUUGUUCACAAUUACAGAUUGAACUUCUUGUUCUACUACUUUCCCACCUUCUCACUACUGCACUUGACUAGUUUU